rnacentral:rRNA from 1 species
CACUCACCGCCCGUCACAGUCACUUGAAUCUGUUGCUCCCGAAGUCGCUGGCCGAACCCGUAAGGGACGGAGGCGCCGAAGGAGUGGCCGGUGAGAGGGGUG